CACUUCUUCUGUUGUGGAAGCACCUGGAAAUCUGAAACCAGGUACGGUUCAGUUGCCUGCUCAAGGGCCUUGUGCUAUGAUUGGGAAGCAAAAAAAUAUUGUAAAGAAGUAAUUUCAGGACAAGAGGGGAAGUGUCUUGGUGGCCUGGAGGGAGCCAGGAGAGAAGGCCUAGGGGAAACAUGUCAGCCUGAAGUGCAGGUGGACCCCCUCAGAGAAAAAGGUGGUUGUUGGUUCUGUGGGGGCUCUGCUGUGUCUGACGUUUUACAGAGCUUCACCUGGUGGUGGGCUGGGCCGGGCACUAAGGCUCAUAAUCUGACAAGGCGUAGGUCUGACCCUCAGUGGCCCAGUUCCUGUGAGAGCCUGGAAGGCUUUAGUGCAGGAACUAAGAGCAAAAACAAGGUCCACGUAACCCCCCUUACUCCUGGGUCUCUGAGAAAAGAGAAGGGAGAUUUUUGCAGGAGUUUCCUGUCUGUAAAACAUGUUGGCACUCCUAGGACAGAGGGACAGCUCUUUGUUUUCUGUGGAGGACUUAGGGACAGAUUAGCCUGGCGGGAUGAGGGAGAUGGAUGCAAUUUUCUUCUGCCGUCUGAUAGUGAAGCAUGGCCAUAUCUCCUCUCGGCUGGGAACCAGGUAUGGGAGACACUCCUGGUGCAGGGCCUCCUGCUUCCCUGUGGGAGAAUAAAGGAGCCUCUGGGCCUCAGGUCAAAGCUCUGUACAAGCCCACUGUACAAAUGUGAGAGAUUUUCUUUCUUUUUCAUAGUAAGUCUCUGCAUUAAAAGAAGCAAUUUCCCAAACUGUGCCAAGUUUUAUCCUAUAUAUUUUGAAAUUACUUCCUACUUUUCCAUGUUUUCUGAGGCCUGGUGGGCAGAUACCUGUGGGGUCCUCUUGUCUCUCUGCUUGGAGCCUUUGCUCCUUGGAGCCUUUGUGAUAACCAUCCGGUCCCCUUCUCACAUCCCAAAGUUCUCCCUCUCAAAGAUGUAUGUAUGCUUGCAUCAUCUCCUGACAGAGCUAACACCCUUCCCUUCCUAA
rnacentral:lncRNA from 1 species